rnacentral:rRNA from 1 species
AACGAACGCUAGCGGCAGGCCUAACACAUGCAAGUCGAACGACCUAGCAAUAGGGAGUGGCAAACGGGUGAGUAACACGUGGGAACCUACCCAGGGGUACGGAAUAACUUAGGGAAACUUAAGCUAAUACCGUAUGUGUCCUUAGGGAGAAAGAUUUAUCGCCCUUGGAUGGGCCCGCGUCUGAUUAGCUAGUUGGUAAGGUAAUGGCUUACCAAGGCGACGAUCUCUAGCUGGUUUGAGAGGAUGAUCAGCCACACUGGGACUGAGACACGGCCCAG